GUGUCCCUACGGGAGGCAGCAGUGGGGAAUAUUGCACAAUGGGGGAAACCCUGAUGCAGCGACGCCGCGUGGGUGAAGAAGUACUUCGGUACGUAAAGCCCUAUCAGCAGGGAAGAAAAUGACGGUACCUGAUUAAGAAGCCCCGGCUAACUACGUGCCAGCAGCCGCGGUAAUACGUAGGGGGCAAGCGUUAUCCGGAUUUACUGGGUGUAAAGGGAGCGUAGACGGCAUUGCAAGUCCGGAGUGAACGCCCACGGCCGGACCGUGGGACUGCUCUGGAAACUGCAGAGCUGGAGUGCGG
rnacentral:rRNA from 1 species